rnacentral:rRNA from 1 species
AUGGCCAUCUUCGACGAGUUCUACGUUAGGUCCAUCGACCUCGGGCGCCUCAACUAUGGGAUCAUUUCGCUCAUCCCAAAGGUUCCCGGGGCGUCCGACAUCCGCCAGUUUCGUCCGAUCACGGUGAUUAAUGUGAUCUUCCGGAUUCUGGCAAAAGGGUACACCAAUAGGGUGACCCUUCUUGUCAAUCUCAUUACCCACCCCAACUAAUCCGCCUUCAUUCAAGGCUGGUACAUCCUGGAUGGGGUGCUAGUCCUUCAUGAAGUCUUGCAUGAGGUCCGAUCCAAACACCUUAAGGCGGUCUUCCUGAAGGUCGAUUUCCACAAGGCUUACGACACUGUUAGCUGGCCAUUCCUUCGGGAGGUUUUGCUCCGGAAAGGCUUCGACGAGCGAUGGAUCACCAGAGUGAUGCACAUGGUCUCCUGCGGUCGCACUACCGUGAACAUCAAUGGGGAGAUUGGCCCUUACUUCCCCAUCCUUUGUGGGGUUAGACAAGGCGAUCCUUUCUCCCCAUUCUUGUUCAAUAUGGUUGUGGACGCGCUUGCCACUAUCCUAGACAAGGCCAAGGUUGCGGUCCAUAUUCGUGGGAUCACUCCUCAUCUGGCUGGUGGCUCCGGGAUCUCCAUGCUCUAG